rnacentral:rRNA from 1 species
AUUGAACGCUAGCGGGAUGCUUUACACAUGCAAGUCGAACGGCAGCGCGGACUUCGGUCUGGCGGCGAGUGGCGAACGGGUGAGUAAUGUAUCGGAACGUGCCCAGUAGCGGGGGAUAACUACGCGAAAGCGUAGCUAAUACCGCAUACGCCCUACGGGGGAAAGCAGGGGAUCGUAAGACCUUGCACUAUUUGAGCGGCCGAUAUCGGAUUAGCUAGUUGGUGAGGUAACGGCUCACCAAGGCGACGAUCCGUAGCUGGUUUGAGAGGACGACCAGCCACACUGGGACUGAGACACGGCCCAGACUCCUACGGGAGGCAGCAGUGGGGAAUUUUGGACAAUGGGGGCAACCCUGAUCCAGCCAUCCCGCGUGUGCGAUGAAGGCCUUCGGGUUGUAAAACACUUUUGGCAGGAAAGAAACGUCGCGGGCUAAUACCCCGUGGAACUGACGGUACCUGCAGAAUAAGCACCGGCUAACUACGUG